CACAAAAGAAAUGUCAGCCAUCAGGGAACUUCACUGAGCAUUCUUGCUACCAAAUCACACAGAGGGAGACAGGGUUUCAAAAUCAUCCCUCAAUAAUCCUCAUCCUGUAUUUAAAUAAUCUCUUGCUUUGAGUGGGGCCCGAACUGAGUGACUCCCUUCUAAGGAACAGAAUAUAGAGAAAGGGACAUGAUACAACUGCUGCGUUUACGGUAUGAAAUGCUUGUGACUUGCGCCUUGCCUGCCCUCUUUGCCUUUUCUUUCCGGCUCUCCCAAAAAGAAGCCCACUACUAUCUGUGAGCAAGGAAUAGGGUGGCCUGCUGGACAGCGGUCAGCAAGGAGCGGAGGUCCUCAGGCCAACAGCUUCCCAAGUGAGCUUGGAAGCAGGUCCCGCCCCAGUUGAGCCAGGCAAUGAUGACAGUCCUGGCAGAGACCUUGGCUGCAAUCUAGGAGCGAUUCUGUGCCAAGGGACCCAGCUUGGAUUUUUGACCUACAGAAAUAAGAGAGUAUAAACCAAGGGAAGACCCAGGCUGUCUGCUUCCUGCUUCCUGCUUCCUGCUUCCUGCUCAGUCCCGCCCAGCCUCCUUCGAAAGAGCCAGCUCGGUAACUACACUGUGAACGCCUCUGUCAUGAAUGGAUGCUAACAUUUUUCUUCAGCUAUAAUCUAGUCAAUGUGUUUGGUAGUGUUUACCAUUGCCACAUACCCUGUUUUAAACAUGUAUAAUUUAGUAUGAAAAAUGAUGAAAAAAUAUACACAUAACAAUGUAAUAUUUGCUAAGGUUCUUCUUGUUUUUUUUUGUUUUUGUUUUUGUUUUUUGCUAUUUUUACGGUUUUUGUUUCACUGUUGUUUUUUUCUCCUAGAAAAAGACUCAUCCUCCUUCAGAUGUGAAUAUUUUCUUUCCUUCAACCAGGAUCUCAUUUAGCCCUUAAGACCUUUUUAUGCAAUUUUUAAAAAAGGAGCAGCCUCCCCCAGUUGGCAGAAAUGAUCUGUGCCCGGCAUGGUAAGCAGGGACAGACUAGGCCUCAAGGGCCACAUCCCCGCACAGCUGCUGCCCUCUACAGUGAAAACCUCUGUGUCCUCAUGCUGCCACUGCGCUCACCUUCCCCACAAGCCAAACGGACAUAGUAAAGGUCAUAGCAGGGUACAAGACCACAGGAACUGAAAAGCUGAAGACUAGGAAGAAAUCUUUCACUGAAGCCAGUUCGGUGACAAUAAACAUGACGUUAAAAGUUUAUCACACUUGUUACACUUUUUGUUUUCUCUUAUUUUCUUAAGCCCAGGUUCUGUUUGAAUGAAUGCAAUUUAGCAAAGUUGCUUUUUCGGGAACACAAAAUUUUGUGGCUUGUGAAAAGAAAAAAAAAAAACGUAAUCUAGAACAUGCGUGAGAAGAAAGACCUUCCAAAGCUGUCUUGAGAGGCAAAUGUGUGCGGCGGCCUCUCUUGCUAGUCGUCCCCUGGGCAUUAUAUAACUCAAAGGUAAUUAGAGAUUGAGGCUUGGACGGCAAAUUCCGUCCCACAAAGGAUAAUCCGGUGUGGAGACAUCAAGUUCGCAGAUGCUCCACAUUUCCAGCCAAGAUAAAGAAAAACUCUUUGGAUAUAUACAUCUCUGUUAAUCCUGCUAGAGAUCAACUUAGAGGAGGUUUAAGUUAGCCAAGGACAUUGGCUUUCUCUGACAUAUCUCAUUCCAGAAAUGCGAUUGUGCUUUAUGGGCUAAAAACAGCAACUCUGUAAAAGUUUCUAAAAACUUUCAAAACAUUUGUUCACAGACUGGAACACAGACUUUUUUUUUUCUAAAUUGAAAACAA